rnacentral:rRNA from 1 species
UACAGAGGGUGCAAGCGUUAAUCGGAAUUACUGGGCGUAAAGCGUGCGCAGGCGGCUCCUUAAGUCAGAUGUGAAAGCCCCGGGCUUAACCUGGGAACUGCGUUUGAAACUGGGGAGCUGGAGUGUAGAAGAGGGGGGUGGAAUUCCAGGUGUAGCAGUGAAAUGCGUAGAUAUCUGGAGGAACACCGAUGGCGAAGGCAGCCCCCUGGGCUAACACUGACGCUCAUGCACGAAAGCGUGGGGAGCAAACAGG